AGCGAACGCUGGCGGCAGGCUUAACACAUGCAAGUCGAGCGGGCACUUCGGUGUCAGCGGCAGACGGGUGAGUAACACGUGGGAACGUACCCUUUGGUUCGGAAUAACGCUGGGAAACUAGCGCUAAUACCGGAUACGCCCUUUUGGGGAAAGGCUUGCUGCCGAAGGAUCGGCCGGCGUCUGAUUAGCUAGUUGGUGGGGUAAUGGCCUACCAAGGCGACGAUCAGUAGCUGGUCUGAGAGGAUGAUCAGCCACACUGGGACUGAGACACGGCCCAGACUCCUACGGGAGGCAGCAGUGGGGACUAUUGGACAAUGGGCGCAAGCCUGAUCCAGCCAUGCCGCGUGAGUGAUGAAGGCCUUAGGGUUGUAAAGCUCUUUUGUCCGGGACGAUAAUGACGGUACCGGAAGAAUAAGCCCCGGCUAACUUCGUG
rnacentral:rRNA from 1 species